rnacentral:rRNA from 1 species
UGGGUAUUGAGAUAUUGGUUUGAUUUUUAUGGGAGGUUGUAGUAAGGAAUUUUGGGCAAUGGGCGAAAGCCUGACCCAGCGACGCCGCGUGGAGGACGAAGGCCUUCGGGUCGUAAACUCCUGUCACAUAUUAUGAAGAGGAAUGGUACUAAUAAUACUAUUUCUUUGACGAAGGUAUGAGAGGAAGCCAUGGCUAACUCCGUGCCAGCAGCCGCGGUAAUACGGAGAUGGUGACCGUUGUUCGGAAUCACUGGGCUUAAAGAGUACGUAGGCGGGAAUAUAAGUCGAGUGUGAAAUUUUAUGGUUUACCCAUGGAACUGCAUUCGAAACUGUAUUUCUUGAGAGUGGGAGGGGAGAGUGGAACUCCUAGUGGAGUGGUGAAAUGUGUUGAUAUUAGGAGGAAUGUUGGUAGUGAAAGUGACUCUCUGGUCCGUUUCUGACGCUGAGGUACGAAAGCUAGGGGAGCAAACGGGAUUAGAUAUCCCGGUAGUUCUAGUCGUAAACGAUGGGCACUAAGUAGAGGGACUCUUAGGUCUCUCUGCCGGAGUAAAAGUAUUAAGUGUCCCGUCUGGGGAGUAUAGUCGCAAGGCUGAAACUCAAAGGAAUUGACGGGGGCUCGCACAAGCGGUGGAGCAUGUGGUUUAAUUCGAAGCAACGCGCAGAACCUUACCUGGGUUUGACAUGUCUGGGAUUAGCCUCUUGAAAGAGAGGUGACACCCCUCCGGGGUGGAACCAGCACGGGUGUUGCAUGGCUGUCGUCAGCUCGUGCCGUGAGGUGUUGGGUUAAGUCCCGUAACGAGCGAAACCCUUAUUCCUAGUUGCUAGCGGGUAAUGCCGGGCUACUCUAGGGAGACUGCCUGUGUUAAGCAGGAGGAAGGUGGGGAUGACGUCAAGUCCACAUGGCCUUUAUGCCCAGGGCUACACACGUGCUACAAUGGCCGGUACAAUGGGAAGCAAUGUCGAAAGGCGGAGCAAAUCCUAAAAACCGGUCUCAGUUCGGAUUGAGGGCUGAAAUUCGCCCUCAUGAAGUUGGAAUCGCUAGUAAUCGCGGGUCAUCAACACCGCGGUGAAUAUGUUCCCGAGCCUUGUACACACCGCCCGUCAAGCCACCGAAGCAGGGGAUCCCUAAAGUCAUUGACCCAACUCUUCGGAGAGGGAGAUGCCCAAGGGAGCUUCUGUGACGGGGACUAAGUCGGAACAAGGUA